GAUGAAGAACGUAGCGAAAUGCGAUAAGUAAUGUGAAUUGCAGAAUUCAGUGAAUCAUCGAAUCUUUGAACGCACAUUGCGCCCCCUGGUAUUUCGGGGGGCAUGCCUGUUCGAGCGUCAUUUCACCACUCAAGCCUCGCUUGGUAUUGGGCAACGCGGUCCGCCGCGUGCCUCAAAUCGUCCGGCUGGGUCUUCUGUCCCCUAAGCGUUGUGGAAACUAUUCGCUAAAGGGUGUUCGGGAGGCUACGCCGUAAAACAACCCCAUUUCUAAGGUUGACCUCGGAUCAGGUAGGGAUACCCGCUGAACUUAAGCAUAUCAUAAGCGGAGGA
rnacentral:misc_RNA from 1 species